CACGUAGGGCGCAAGCGUUGUCCGGAAUUAUUGGGCGUAAAGAGCUCGUAGGCGGUCUGUUGCGUCCGCUGUGAAAACCCGGGGCUUAACCCCUGGCUUGCAGUGGAUACGGACAGACUAGAGUGCGGUAGGGGUGACUGGAAUUCCUGGUGUAGCGGUGGAAUGCGCAGAUAUCAGGAGGAACACCGAUGGCGAAGGCAGGUCACUGGGCCGCAACUGACGCUGAGGAGCGAAAGCAUGGGGAGCGAACAGG
rnacentral:rRNA from 1 species